UGAGGAAUAUUGGUCAAUGGGGGCAACCCUGAACCAGCCAAGUCGCGUGAAGGAUGAAGGUCUUAUGGAUUGUAAACUUCUUUUACACGGGAAUAAAGCGGGGGACGUGUCCCUCUUUGCAUGUACCGUGUGAAUAAGGAUCGGCUAACUCCGUGCCAGCAGCCGCGGUAAUACGGAGGAUCCGAGCGUUAUCCGGAUUUAUUGGGUUUAAAGGGUGCGUAGGCGGAAAGAUAAGUCAGCCUGUGAAAGUUUGCGGCUCAACCGUAAAAUUGCAGUUGAUACUGUUUUUCUUGAGUGUACAUAAGGUAGGCGGAAUUCGUGGUGUAGCGGUGAAAUGCUUAGAUAUCACGAAGAACUCCGAUUGCGAAGGCAGCUUACCGGGGUACAACUGACGCUGAUGCACGAAAGUGUGGGUAUCAAACA
rnacentral:rRNA from 1 species